GCCUGCCUGGAGUGCUAGAUGGGCAGGGUUUGCAGUUUUGCGACUAUUCUAUUGGUUCUAAUUUCUCUUGAUGUAUUUGAUGAUAAGAGCAUUCGUGAUGAAGCCGUCGGAUUUGUGUUAUAAAAGAGAUGCAGAGAGGGCGAAGGACCUGAGCCCUAGGACCAUGCCUCAGGACUACCUGGUAUGAUGACUCCUUGCUGUCCCCAGUCCACCUGGCCGUGCUGCUGCUCCAGUUUCAACUGUUCUGCCUGCGGCUAUGGAACCCUGACCUGUUCACCGGACGUGCUUGUUGCACCCUCGACAACUACUAUGAUUAUUAUUAUUUGACCAUGCUGGUCAUUUAUGAACAUUUUAACAUUUUAACAUCUUGACCAUGUUCUGUUAUAAUAUCCACCCUGCACAGCCAGAAGAGGACUGGCCACCCCUCAUAGCCUGGUUCCUCUCUAGGUUUCUUCAUAGGUUUUUGGCCUUUCUAGGGAGUUUUUCCUAGGGAGUUUUUCCUAGCCACCGUGCUUCUUUCACAUGC
rnacentral:lncRNA from 1 species